rnacentral:rRNA from 1 species
AUGCUGACGACCGGCGCACGGGUGAGUAACGCGUAUACAAUCUACCUUGUACUGAGGGAUAGCCCAGAGAAAUUUGGAUUAAUACCUCAUAGUAUAUAGUUUUCACCUGAGGACUAUAUUAAAGGUUACGGUACAAGAUGAGUAUGCGUUCUAUUAGCUAGAUGGUAAGGUAACGGCUUACCAUGGCAACGAUAGAUAGGGGCCCUGAGAGGGGGAUCCCCCACACUGGUACUGAGACACGGACCAGACUCCAACGGGAGGCAGCAGUGAGGAAUAUUGGACAAUGGGCGAGAGCCUGAUCCAGCCAUGCCGCGUGCAGGAUGACUGCCCUAUGGGUUGUAAACUGCUUUUAUACAGGAAGAAACCCCCCGACGUGUCGGGGCUUGACGGUACUGUAAGAAUAAGGAUCGGCUAACUCCGUGCCAGCAGCCGCGGUAAUACGGAGGAUCCAAGCGUUAUCCGGAAUCAUUGGGUUUAAAGGGUCCGUAGGUGGAUAAUUAAGUCAGAGGUGAAAUCCUGCAGCUCAACUGUAGAAUUGCCUUUGAAACUGGUUAUCUUGAGUUAUUAUGAAGUAGUUAGAAUAUGUAGUGUAGCGGUGAAAUGCAUAGAUAUUACAUAGAAUACCAAUUGCGAAGGCAGAUUACUAAUAAUACACUGACACUGAUGGACGAAAGCGUGGGGAGCGAACAGGAUUAGAUACCCUGGUAGUCCACGCCGUAAACGAUGGUUACUAGCUGUUCGGUUUUCGGACUGAGUGGCUAAGCGAAAGUGAUAAGUAACCCACCUGGGGAGUACGUUCGCAAGAAUGAAACUCAAAGGAAUUGACGGGGGCCCGCACAAGCGGUGGAGCAUGUGGUUUAAUUCGAUGAUACGCGAGGAACCUUACCAAGGCUUAAAUGUAGAUUGACAGGUUUAGAGAUAGACUUUUCUUCGGACAAUUUACAAGGUGCUGCAUGGUUGUCGUCAGCUCGUGCCGUGA